AUGCCAAUACAAGGAAGGCAAACUUGUAACAUAGAGACAAUGCUAAUACAAGUAAAGGGUUACGAAUUAUGUGACCUUUCAACUUAUCAAACCGUGAUCUCCUCCGUCGCCACCGGGACAAAAUUCUCCUCUCCGCAACCAAAGGAAGAAAACCCUAAGACGCUCACAAAUGGAGACUGCACCAUGACGAAGUGCGAUUUCAAGUAA